rnacentral:rRNA from 1 species
UACGAAGGGGGCUAGCGUUGCUCGGAUUGACUGGGCGUAAAGGGCGCGUAGGCGGUUCGUACAGUCAGACGUGAAAUUCCUGGGCUCAACCUGGGGGCUGCGUUUGAUACGUGCGGACUUGAGUGCGGAAGAGGGUCGUGGAAUUCCCAGUGUAGAGGUGAAAUUCGUAGAUAUUGGGAAGAACACCGGUGGCGAAGGCGGCGACCUGGUACGAUACUGACGCUGAGGCGCGAAAGCGUGGGGAGCAAACAGG